GUAGGUGACAAGCGUUGUCCGGAAUUAUUGGGCGUAAAGCGCGCGCAGGCGGUUCUUUAAGUCUGAUGUGAAAGCCCACGGCUCAACCGUGGAGGGUCAUUGGAAACUGGAGAACUUGAGUACAGAAGAGGAAAGCGGAAUUCCACGUGUAGCGGUGAAAUGCGUAGAGAUGUGGAGGAACACCAGUGGCGAAGGCGGCUUUCUGGUCUGUAACUGACGCUGAGGCGCGAAAGCGUGGGGAGCAAACAGGAUUAGAUACCCUGGUAGUCCACGCCGUAAACGAUGAGUGCUAAGUGUUAGGGGGUUUCCGCCCCCCUUAGUGCUGCAGCUAACGCAUUAAGCACUCCGCCUGGGAGUACGGCCGCAAGGCUG
rnacentral:rRNA from 1 species